CCUACGGGAGGCAGCAGUAAGGAAUCUUCCACAAUGGACGAAAGUCUGAUGGAGCAACGCCGCGUGCAGGAUGAAGGCUUUCGGGUCGUAAACUGCUUUUAUAUGGGAAGAUUAUGACGGUACCAUAUGAAUAAGGACCGGCUAACUACGUGCCAGCAGCCGCGGUAAUACGUAGGGUCCAAGCGAUAUCCGGAAUUACUGGGCGUAAAGCGUGUGUAGGUGGAUUAAUAAGUGUGAUGCGAAAUCCGGCGGCUCAACCGUUUGGACUGUGUCGCAUACUGUUAGUCUAGAGGACGGCAGAGGUAAGUGGAAUUACGGGUGUAGCAGUGAAAUGCGUAGAUAUCCGUAGGAACACCAAUGGCGAAGGCAGCUUACUGGGCCACACCUGACACUGAGACACGAAAGCGUGGGGAGCGAACAGGAUUAGAUACCCUGGUAGUCCACGCCGUAAACGAUGCAUACUAUUAGUAUGGGGUAUCGACCCCCUGUGCUGAGAAGCUAACGCGAUAAGUAUGCCGCCGNGGGAGGUACGAGCGCAGACUUAAACUAACGAAAGAAGUAGACGGCGNGAGACGUGCCGACGGACGACGACGAGGGAGGAGG
rnacentral:rRNA from 1 species